rnacentral:sRNA from 1 species
AAUAAUAUUACUUAUAUUAAUAAGUAUAAGAGAAGUCGGUGAUGAUUUAUGAAAUAUCGGUGUACACACUUGUACACCAACGAAUAAUGGUUAGUGUACAAAACGAUGUUUUAAAUGUUUGUGCAUUAUAAUGAUGACAGAUAAAUAGUGUAAAAGUCAAUGUAAUUUUUUAGAAAAAAGAAUAUUUCUUUUUUUUUA